UGAAAAUCACCGAGGGCGACCUGUGGAUCCGCACGUACGGCCGCCUCUUCCAGAAGCUCUGCUCCUCCAGCGCCGAGAUCCCCAUUGGCAUCUACCGGACAGAGAGCCACGUCUUCUCCACCUCGGAGGUUCUGGGGCAGCCUGGGGGCUGGGACUGUGGCAGCCCCUGUCCUGUGUGACCCACAGCAUCCCCACCUUCAGUGUCGGGGACCUGGGCUAGAUCAGCUUUGCUAUUGCUGGCAGCUCCUUCCGUCUGGUCCGUGUGCCCACGUGUAGCGCUUCCAGCUGGAGCAGCCAUGACCCCUACCGGGGGCAGAGAGGCUCAGGGGAGGCUUCAGGAAGAAUACGGGCAGCCCCUGUGCUGCAGUCCACACAGCAGCAGGCACCGUGCCCACCAGCCCUAAGCAUGUUCCGUGCAGACCCCAGGCUGAGGCGGCGUGGGGGGCAGGGGUGCGCCCGCAGGUCCCAGACUGCGCCUGUUUCCUUUGCAGCCCCACGACCUCAGAGCCCAGGUAAGCAACCCCUCCGUGCCCACGCAGCUUCUGCGGAGCACCAGAACAUCGCAGCUUCACAUGGAGAAGCCUGCCAGGCCCCACCCACCCACAGGGCCCUGGGAAAGCCGAGGCAGGAGCGGGUCCCAUGGAUGUGUCGGCCCCAGCACGGCUCAGAGAAGGCUGUUGACAGUCACUCCCUCCUGCACUGGUGGUGGGGAAGCUGAGGCCUGGGGGGAGUAGCCUUCCCAGAUCUCGGUGAACGUGGAGGACUGUGAGGACACACGGGAAGUGAAGGGGCCCUGGGGCUCCCGCGCUGGCACCGGAGGCAGCUCCCAG
rnacentral:lncRNA from 1 species